UAUAGACAAAGUUCUGAGCCUUCAAAAUUGAAUUAUUGUGAUUACUCAGAUUUGGAUGGGUUUAUCAUAUUUAUUGAAUAUUUUUCGAGUACCGUGAGGUGAAGUCGUUUUGGUUCCAGACGCUUCAACGUUUUACACUGAAGUUUCAGCGCCUGAACGUUUCUACUUCCGGUUCACUCUUGACUCAACAUCUAUGUACUCAUCCGAGAUUUUUUUCGUGUACUCUUGUCCUAACUAAACGAGCUCGUUUAAAGCGUUCUCAUCGGGUAAUUACCCAAGUAAGAAUUUAGUGCCAAUUUUAAAGCUGAGUGGAAGUCGUUUGGCUUUAUGUUGGAGCUUCUCUUACUUAAACUUAGUUUUGUUUAGCUUAGCUCGCUAGCCAAGACAUUUUGAUUGCUUUGGCUUAACGCUACUUUGUAAAUUUGAUUUUAAGGGGGAUCGUUUGGCUUCUCCCCUUUUCUUAAAGAUGUGACAAACUACUACUAACUGAACGCCAACACAAUCCCAAACAUCAAGUGGAGACCUGGAUGAUAAGGAGACGAAAUACAGGCCACGGCAAGGAACUGAAAAACCAAAGAAAAUGAAGCGUCACGCAGACGUCACCGCAGAAGAUCUCCACCCUGGGAAGCCUGAUCCCCUCCACGUUAAACAGGAGGAGGAGUCGGAGAUGCCGUACAUCAAACAGGAGGGAGCGCCAGAAACUGUCUACAUUAAGGAAGAAGAACAGGAAGAUGAAAUCCCCAAGUCUCCAGUGACUGCCAGUGUGAAGAGUGAAGAAGAUGAAGGUCCGAGCGGAGCAGCGAAACAUUCGAGCGACGGCCAGUUUCAACACCUGACAACAAAAGAAGAGGGACGAUCAGAACCGGACGGUCUGUUUGCUCCGCUUUCAGACAGCGACGACGUAACAUCACACUCUUCUGACUUUAACACUGAUGAGGAGGAUGUUGACUUCGACCAAAAUGCUUCAAAAUCCUUAAACAAGUCAUCUUUGAAAAAAGACAAAAGAACACGUGGUUAGGAAAUAUUUUCGUUGCUUACAUUGCGAUAAAACAUUUUCUUGGAAACAAAGCUUAAAAACACACAUGCGUACACACACUGAGAAGAAGUCUUUUGCCUGCUCCUUUUGUGGGAAAAUAUAUACUCGGAGGUUUGAGUUGACAGUACACACGCGUACACACACUGGAGAAAAGCCUUUUCCCUGCUCAGUUUGCCAUAAAAGAUACUCUCGGAAAGUACUGUUAAACUAUCACACUAAAACACACACAGGAGAAAAGCCUUUUGCCUGCUCAUUUUGUGAUAAAAGAUGCAUCACAAAGGCAAAUUUAAACAUUCACAUAAGAACACACAGCACACAGAAGCCGUUCGCUUGCACACUUUGUGAUAAAACAUUCUCUCAAAAGAACCAUUUAGACAAGCAUAUACGUGCACACAGUGGAGAAAAGCCUUUUGCCUGCACAUAUUGUGAUCAACGAUUUGUUUUUAAGGCAAAUUUAAACAGGCACACAAGCAGACACACUGGAGAGAGGCCUUUCGCCUGCACGCUUUGCGAUAAAAGAUUUUUUCAGAAAAGUGAUUUAAAUAAGCAUAAGCGUACACACACUGGAGAAAAGCCUUUUGCCUGCACAUCUUGUGAUAAACAAUUCGCCGAUAAGGGAAAUUUAAAAAGACACACGAGCAAACACACUGGAGAGAGGCCUUUCGCCUGCACACUUUGCGAUAAAAGAUUUUCUCUGAGGACUCAUUUAGAAAAGCAUAAGCAAACACACACUUGAGAAAAGCUUUUUCCCUGCUUAGUCUGCCAAAAAGGAUUCCCUCGGGAAAUAGAACUAAAUGAUCACACAAGAACACACUCCGGGGAGAAACUUUUCGCCUACACAUUUUGCGAUAAAAGAUUUCCUCAGAAGACAAAUUUGAAAAAAGCGGAAGCGUACACCACAGGUGGGUAGUAACUAGAGGUGCAAUGAUUAGCAUAUCUUUUUCUAAUUACAUCUGUGAUGGGAUUGCUGGCUUUUUUCAACAACGUACAUCUGAAGUAAAGACAUUGAUUGUCUAAAAUGGUUCAAUAUUAGGUGAAAUGUCUGCUUUUCUCAUUUAUACAUAUAAUUACUCUUUACCAGAUUUUUUUUUCUCUCCGAUUAAUCGUUAGAAUUUUCAGUAGAAUCAGGCAUGGAAAUAUCUCACCUUUCGGCGAAAUUCGCCGUUUUGAAGUCAAAAAGGGUGACCUACGUGAAUCGUGCAGAACCAAGGAGAAUUUUUUUUUAAGGGGGGGUGUCGGGUGUAGGCAUGUGCCGGUUACCCUCACGGUUUACCAUGUUAUCAAAACGCGGUUUCAAAACCACUAAAAUUUUUCAUCAUACCGUAGUACGCGAUGCAAAAAUCGCAGACAUCAAGGAGUGGUCGAGAUUUUCUUUUCGUAUAUUUACCCUUUUCAAACUUUUUUUUCUUCAGUUUUUCUUUGUUUGGAUCGAUCAUUUAUAAUCGAACAUAUCGGAAAAAAUGCGACAUUAACAAAAAAAAAAACAUUUAAGCGAUAGUCAUGAGGUACAUAGCCAUGACUUUUUUACAGACGCCAUUUUUUCCAUUUUUAAAUAAUUUGUUUAAAAGUUUAAAAUACACAAGUAUUUUUUUAAAGUCUUUUUUUAAUGAAAUAUUAGACAUCAAUGACGUACCGCAAGCAACACGUCACUUCCGCUCAUUAAUAUUUAUGACAUUAGGUACUGUUGCUAAGGGGGGACCACCGUUCGUCCCUAAUAGGAAAUGAAUGGAAAUCGUGUACAAAGGAGAUGUUUACAGAGCUAAACCUACCAAUUCUUUCUGAAAAUGAUGUCCCUUGUGCCAAAUUCACUGGCAAGUGGCAACGAUGUGGAAGAACAUAAAAAUGUUCAGUUAAAGAGAUGGCUCGAGUGUCGGAGGCUGAAAAAGACGAGAAAAAAACGAGCCGACCUAAGCAUAGCCUUAUUUUUUUAUCGACGGGACUGACAAUGACAUUCUCCUGUUUCAACAAGCUAUCCUUUACCACCAGCCCUGUCUUUCUAAUAUAUUAUAUCCUCUGGUUGUCCUACGUCUGACCGUUCUUGGGGGUAAUUUAGUUAGGUUUGUGUAGCGAUCGCAAAUGCUACUUAGUGACAGCCAACGAACACUUUUAAUUUUUCCAUUGAUAACAAAUCUUCAUUCUAUAAUUUAUUUACACUUCCUCCCUACUAAAGUUUUUUUUUUUUUUUUUUUUUUUUAACAAAUGAAAAGGUAACUGGCAGUCAGAUACCAUUUUAAUUCUUUUCAGGUCAUUCAUUGUCAGACAGAAGCAGCAUUGCACAACUUCACGCUAAAAAAUACAUUAAAAAUAUCAAAAUGUCUUACCUCUUUGUCCUCUGAAAGACCAUGCCAACCCAACAAAAUGUUUACUGCAUAUGAAAUGUGAAUGGAUUUACCGAGCUGUUGUUAAAAGUCCGAGCAAGUUGAUUCAUUCUUCACAUUCUUUCCUCCGAGUUUUUGGUUUCGGGAAACGUUUGAAGAAAACAUCCUUAAUGUCUAGAGUCGUUUCUGCAAGUUCCAAAAAAGCAAUGCGUGAUCAGCAUGUUUGUUUUUGAAAGAUUACCGGAGAAAUGUAGAACAAUUUACAUUGCUUCUAUGCACGGGCGGGUCUAUAACGUCCCACUUCUACUUUACAUCCGCUGUAUGAUGCGACGUCACGGUCUAAAAAUAGCAUGCGUGCGGCGCGCCCUUAAUGAUUUUAAGCUAAAAAUGACAAGACAUUUUGAACAAUAAAUAUAGUUACCUUCGUUUAAUUGCUGGGUUGAAACAAAGGUGGUUUCGCGACGUCUGUAAACGGGGGUUUCCAGGGAAAAACGGACGAAUUAAUAAUAGUACGCCAUGAAUCUGCUCUGGCAGCAUAUAGAAAUAUUGCUCUAUUAAACACUGCAUUGCAGAUUGCGUUGGACAAAAAUAAAUUAUUCCUAAACAAAAGUGUAAUCCGCAACAUGGAAGCACUUGCAUGGUUGAGCACCAACGCUAGCCAAAUCUCCGGUGAAAAAAUAGCUCUCGCUAAGUUAGCGUCAAGCUUGUGUAUUUAACAGUAAUAUAAAAGGAGAAAUACAAGCUUCUCUGUAAUAUUGCUGUAAUUGGUAUUUCAGGGAUGUGUGGCGCCUUUUUUUCAGCGCAACAUUUAUGUACAGUGUUUAACACUUGUUUAGCUUCUGUGAAAGUAAACUUUGUUUCUAAAUAACCAUGGCCAGCACAAGCUGUAUGUGUGUCUUUGGUGCCUCCUGAAGAUUACUGAAACACAGAAUGGGUCGACGGAGCUCAAUAUUUUGUUGGGUUAUAGAGUGUACCAGCGUUCGGCAAUUCCUUGCUACGUGGCGAAACGUCCUACACAAUUAUCAGCGCGCUUGCGCAAUCAUUCGCGCGCACGCGCACAUCGGUUAAAAGCAGCGAGUACUCACUAGUUUUGUUUUUAUUGAGUUUUUAAAAUCUUUUAGUUCCCUUAAAAAUACUUUUUGCAUGUAUUGCCCUCCCAUACUUUUAACCAUUGUGUGUUUUUGUUGUAGCUUUAAAGCAGUUGAUCACAUUAGUCACGUAGCAUAUUCAAACCGUCCUUAUUUGAUAUAACUACAUAUAAGUAUUUUCUUAAAGAGAAUUAUAAUACUAAGGGGCUGUGAGAUAUCAAUAGAUCCAAUAUGUGGCAAGAUAACAAAAGGUCGAGGCAAGUGCCAUCGUUGUUUAUCGACGAGAGAGCUGCGUUCAUGUUUUAUCAAAUAAUCGCUAAAAUGGUUCAAACCUGCCGUGCUAUGAUAGUGAUAUUAUAUUAUAUUAUAUAUAUUUUUUUUAUUCUCUUUGCUUUUGUUCCGUGAAGAAUCCAGAAAGGGUUAUUUGAUUGUGGCUUUCUGAAAAACAAUAAAUGUUUGCAUUUCGGCACUCUUGCAAUCGUCACACUUUUUCUGUUACAAACUGACCCCGGCUCCACAUCAGAGAAGGGAAAAGUUAUGUGGCCCUCACAGGAAAAAGUUUGGGGACCCCUGGUGUAAGAACUUCCUCUAUUGGGAAUCAUUUAUAGAGCUCUUCUUUGUUCUGUAAAAAAAAAAAAUCAACAUGAGAUUGUCACUUAGCUAUAUAGACAAUGUGUAUUUCUGCAUUUAUUUUGAAUUCAUUAAUUUAGUUGUUAUUCAAAUUGUAAUAAUGGAUCAAUUCAUUUGUUUCAUAUAAUUUAAAAAAUCACAAAUGAAUAAUAUUUUUAAAAUAUAUAUACAAGCAAUUAUAAUACAUAUUUAUCAAAGUGAUGUGAAUCAACCUGCCCGGAGUGGCGACUUCUUGCCAACAGCGACCUCUCCUGGCCGUUCCUCUCUCCUCUUUCCUCGCACUAUUUUCGUAUUUUUGGCAUAAUUAGAUCUCAUGGGUAGCGGGCAAAAGCUAAACCAAGUGAGCCUGAGAAGCUACAAUGCUUUAAAAUGAUGAGAGUUUAAUUUUAUGUUCUUUGAUGGAAGAAGAGCAGCGGGAGAAGUACAGAAAUUUGGAGAAAGACCCAUUUUUAAAUGUAUACAUUCACGGACAAAGUUCUGAGCCUUCAAAAUUGAGUUAUUGAUAGUGAUGACUCAUAUUCGGAUAUGUUUAUCAUAUUUAUGAAAUAUUUUUCGAGUCCUGUGAGCUUGAAGUAGUUAUGGUUCCAAAUGCUUCAACGUUUUGCACUGAAGUUUCAGCCCCUGAACGUUUCUACUUCCGGUUCACUCUUGAAGCGUACCCAUUCUGAACUUGCAGUUCUUUUGCGUACACUUCUCCGAACUAAACGAGCUCUUUUAAAGCAUUCUCAUCGGUGUCCCACAGAAGUCACUGCAGAAGGUCUUCACUCUGAAAAGCACGAUCCCCUCCAAGUCAAAAUGGAGGAGGAGUCGAAAAUGCUGUACAUCAAACAGGAGGCGGAGCCAGAGACCCCAAGAAUUAAAGAAGAACAGGAAGAUGAAAUCUCCACAUUUCCAUUGAUUGACAUCGUCAAGAGUGAAGAAAAUGAAGAUCCAAGCGAAGAGACCAGAGCAGCGAAACCUUCGAGCGAUAGCUCAUUUGAGCACCUGACAAAAAAAGGAAAGGGACGAUCGAAACCGGACGGCCUCUUAGCUCCGCUUUCGGACAGCGACGACAUAACGUCACACUCUUCUGACUUUAACACUGAUGAGGAGGAUGUUGACUUUGACCAAAAUGCUUCAAAAUCCUUAAACAAGUUAUCAUUGAAAAGUGACACUCAAGAAUGCGUGGCUAAGAAAGCUUUUCCCUGCUCACUUUGUGAUCAAACAUUUUCGAUGAAACAUCACUUAAAAAUACACAUGCGUACACAUACUGGGGAGAAGCCUUUCGCCUGCAUGCUUUGUGAUAAAAGAUUUUCUCAUAAGACUAGUUUAGAAAUACAUAAUCGUACUUUGUGGUAAAACAUUCACCGAUAAGAGAUAUUUAAGCAAACGCAAGAACACACACUGGAGAGAAACCUUUUGCCUGCACACUUUGCGAUAAAAGAUAUUUAGAUUUAGAAAUACAUAAGCGUACACACAAUGGAGAAAAGCCUUUUGCCUGCACAUCUUGUGAUAAACGAUUCAUUGAUUAGGCAAAUUUAAACCGACACACAAGAAAACACACUGGAGAGAAGCCUUUUGCCUGCACAUCUUGUGAUAAACGAUUCAUUGAUAAGGCAAGUUUAAACCGACACACAAUAAAACACACUGGAGAGAAGCCUUUUGCUUGCUCACUUUGUGGUAAAAGAUUCACUGGGAAGCAAAAUUUAAACACACAAGCAAACACACAGGAGAGAAAACGUUUCCCUGCUUAAAAUGUGAUAAAAAAAUUUCUUUGAAGACUACUUUAGAAAAGCAUAAGCGUACACACACUGGAGAAAAGCCUUUUGUCUGCACAUUUUGUGGAAAAACAUUCACCCAGAAGGGAAGUUUAAACAGACAUACAAGCAGACACACAGGAGAGAAGCCUUUUCCCUGCUCAGUUUGUCAUAAAAGAUUCUAUCGUCAGUCUGAUUUAGAACGGCAUAGGCGUACACAUACUGGAGAAAAGCCUUUUGCCUGCUCACUUUGUGGUAAAACAUUCACCGAGAAGGGAAAUUUAAGCAAACACGCAAGAACACACACUGGAGAGAAGCCUUUUGCCUGCACACUUUGCGAUAAAAGAUAUUUUCAGAAGGGAGAUUUAGAAAAUCAUAUCCGUAAACACAAUGGAGAAAACCUUUUGCCUGCACAUUUUGUGAUAAACGAUUAAUUGAUAAGGUAAAUUUAAACAGACACACAAGCAGACACACUGGAGAGAAGACUUUUGCCUGUUCACUUUGUGGUAAAACAUUCACCCAUGAGGUAAGUUUAAACAAACAUACAAGCAGACACACUAGAGAAAAGCCUUUACCCUGCUCAGUUUGUCAUAAGAGAUUCUAUCAUCAGUCUGAUUUAGAACAGCAUAGGCGUACACACACUGGAGAAAAGCCUUUUGCCUGCUCACUUUGCGAUAAAAGAUUUGUUCAAAAGAGAGAUGUAGUAAAGCUUAUGCGUACACACACUGAUCUUUUAUCUGCACUUGCUGUGGUAAAUCAUUUACCCAUAACGAACGUUUAAACAAACACACAAGCAGACACACUGGAGAGACGUCUUUCGCCUGCACACCAUGUGAUAAAAGAUUAUUGUUAUUAUAAUAAGAUUGUUAUAAUAAAAUACUGUGUUUGAAGGAUAGUCCUCCAUUUUGUCUUCAUUGUUACUUACAACAUGU